rnacentral:lncRNA from 1 species
UAGGGUUUCCUUUUCUCUCAAGUGAAAGUGAGCUGCAGAGAGUGAUAUAUAUUGUUUGGGAUCUGAAAUGGAUAGAUCAUAUUAUAAUAAUGACCUCGUUGCAAUUAAGAUUGAGCUGAUGCUUAAAAUUGGGAAAAGAUUGCAAGUAGUAUACACCAAAUUAAUAGGGUAAACGUGGUGGUAAAAUAACGUAGAUACGAAGAAAGAGUAGAUUGAGACCCUACUGUGCAAAGAAAUAUCACCGACAGAUGAAUUAGUAAGAAAGAACCUGGGCACGUGAUCGUGGCUGAAAGCCUGAAACUUGGGGGUCCUAGUAAUGAAGAUGCAUACAGCUUUGUGUCAAGUUUCAGAGUACGGUGUGAUGAAUCAAAGCGAGGCGAGGCGAGGCGACCCGACCGUAUUGAUAAUGGAAUCCAAUGGCGCGGAGCGGAGCGGAGGUUCCAAGUCAAUGUUUUCCGGAAUUAAUUAUUUAGAUUGAGAUCGCCGGACAAAUCUACAUAAUUUUGAGAUAAAUUAAAAAG